rnacentral:misc_RNA from 1 species
UAUUUUGUGUUCCGAAUUGGAAAAAAACAAGAGUUUCCGAAUGCGUUAUGGUACUUGACAUGAAGCCUUGAAGGGUGGUUACUUGGUCCGAUUACCUGCUGCAGUUCAUCUAUUACGCUUUAAAUGAGGAAAACGCGGAGUCAAACAGUUUCACCCACUUUCACUUCCGCAAACCUGCGCCUGCGCCAUGUGGAUUGUGUAAAUUGUCAACAUACACGUAUCACAACCAUUGAUCAACGUAAGGUUGGGGAUACAGAACUUCAGAACGAUGGCAGCCCAGACUUUUCAACAGGAAUAUAUGCAGAUGCCCCCAAUUACGCGGGCAUACACAACAGCUUGUGUUUUAACAACAGUAGCCAUUCAACUAGAUGUGAUAACUCCUUUCCAAAUUUACUUCAAUCCAGAGCUUAUAUUUAGAAAAUAUCAGGUAUGGAGAUUAGUCACGAAUUUUAUGUACUUUGGACCGAUUGGGUUUAAUUUCUUAUUCAAUAUGAUAUUUGCUUACCGCUACUGCCGUUUACUGGAGGAAGGAUCUUUUCGUAACCGAACUGCUGACUUUUUCUUCAUGGUUUUAUUUGGAGCGGCUCUUAUGACUAUUUUCGGUUUGUUUGUUAACAUUGUGUUCCUGGGCAGUGCCUUCACCAUCAUGCUGGUCUACGUGUGGAGUAGAAGGAACCCGUACAUAAGGAUGAACUUCUUCGGCCUCAUGACCUUCCACGCCCCAUACCUACCGUGGGUCCUACUCGGCUUUUCUGUCCUGCUGGGAAAUUCUGUUCUCGUGGAUCUUAUGGGUAUUGCUGUCGGACAUGUGUAUUACUUUUUGGAAGAUGUAUUUCCUAAACAGAAAGGAGGAUUUAAAUUAUUAAAAACACCAGGAUUUUUGAAAUAUAUUUUGGAAGGAGCAGCUGAUGACCCAAAUUACAACCCACUCCCAGAAGACCGACCUGGAGGAUUUAACUGGGGAGAGGGUCAGGCUGCAGGGAACAGAGACCAGCCUAACCAGGGCUAACGAACACCUAUUUAUCUAUAAAUCUAUUGGUCUUAUUCCGCAAACUCGUCACAGUAACCAGGCUGUUUUACCGAGGAUCAGUCCGUGACUGUGAACUACGGGUAGAUAUUUUGUCUGAAUAAACACAGAAAAUCUGCUGUUGCACUUAUUGUUAUAACAGAAUGGUUGAAGGUAAUAGGAGAUAACUAUGAUUUAAGUGUCUUAUAUGUGUUACUAUGGAGGAUAUAUUUGGCAGUACUAUUGUCAACUUUCACUACUGAAAAAUCCAUUGACAUGACAACAACUCAGAUCUUAAAAUUUUUCCAGUAAAUCAAAAAAGCCAUAGAAAUGGUGUAGAAUGGAUAUAAAUCUGGACAGUAUGUGAAUUCAUGGCUGUUUGUUUUGGUUUAUUCAGAUCUUUUAUAUCGGAAUGCGAUAUUUGUUUAAAGUGUCUUCAAAUAUAAAGGUGUUUGUGGUUUCCUUAUAUUGUAUUUUGUGCAAUAAGAUUAGAAAAUGGGUUUUCAGUUUUUGAUUCACAAGUGUGUGGUGUCGAAAAAACAAAAUUUCCACUUUCUUUUAUUGUUGUCAAGUUGUCAAUGGUGUCUUCAAUUUUUCAGAUUUCUUGUUUUAUAUAUUUGAAUUAAUUGGUCGCCUCGCACAUUUACGAAGGAAAUAGAGAAAUACUGCAGUUGUCAUUUCCAAAUGUUUUGUUGUCAUUCAUCUUAUCAGGAUAAUGAUAUGCCGAUACUAAGUAGGAAGUGAAUGUAUUCGUGCUCAUUGUUCAAUAUUUUUAUUUCUACAUUGUAUAUAACAAAUCCUUUACAUUUCUUAGCUUCACCUUAUUGUCAAGCAAUUGCAGUUAGGUAAUCAUGGUUACGGUCGUCAACACUCAUGUGAUUAUGUUAAUUUACCCCCAGUUUGUCUUAGCAACAGAUAUGGUCAUUUAGAGAUUAGGUCAAUACCAAGGUCACUGAUACUAUUUAUAGGUUAAUCACCGCUAAUUUGUAACAGAUUCAUUGUCAUUAACUUCAAGGGCAAAGGGCCAUACAUGUGUUUAAGUCAUUUUUCUAGUUUCGUAAGAAAUCAUUUUGAUAUUGGCAUAGCUAGAAAGUAUUUAAGCACAUAUUAACACUAGUUAUAUUCCUGCCACUUUUUGAUGUUUUAAAAGUACUUGUUACACAAUGGACGGGUUAUGGUUUUCACUCACUGGUUGAUCACCAUAUGCUUUGUGUUCGGUCUCAUAUAUCUUCAUUUAAAAUGUUGUAAACAGGUUGUUUGAUUACUGGAAAUGAAUUGAAUAUUCAGUAUCAUCUACUAGUACACUAGUCGUAAAUUUCAAUAUCCUGAUAAUGAAGUCUAUUAAUCUGAAAGUGCCUGUCUUUUAGGUUACAGAACACCAUUCUGUCGGGAUCCUUGAAAUUCCAGUGGUACCGCUCACUUACAUUCUCUACACCCCUCGAAUAUGUCAUGACAAAAUUGAAGGCACAAAGUUAGUGAUUUGAUUGGUUUCAUUUGUAAAAACAUGACCAAGCACAAUGCUGAUGCUGUCCUUUGAAGCUUACAAAGGCGAUACAUCCAAAUUCAAAGCCAGUCAACUUACAAUUUAUCCUGCUGGGUGAUUCUAUAGAUAUUUAUGUGACUACAAGACUACACAUGAAUUUCACUCCAGCCAGCUACAAUAAACAUAUAUUAGAUGUUGGUUUUUACACAUUUGUCCUCUAUUGUCAUCUAAAAAGUAUUUGAAGUAAGCAUAGAACACGAAAGUUUGAUAGCAUCUGUAUAUACGUACAAUAUAUAAGGAUUUUCUUCAAACGUCAUACAAUGCUAAAACAUUCGAGAAUUGAUUGAAAAGAUUGAAAAUCAAAUAGUCCUAUUUCAUGUCUGUAAGAAAUUGUGUGUAAUAAUGUUUUUAUUGCAAUAUUUUAUGAAAAUAUAAUAAAGUUUGAUGACCGAGAA